GGAGACUUGGUGUAGGUGGUUGUUUGCACGUGGGUCUGAAAAACCCAAGGCUCUGAUUCGAUUUCAGAAGUUCCCA
rnacentral:tRNA from 1 species